rnacentral:rRNA from 1 species
AUGUUCGUGAGGACCGAGUUGAUUAGGUCGUCCUCUAACGAAGAGCAAUUUGCCUUUAAAACUGCUCAAACAUUUCUUUCUCUGAGGGCUCUUCAACAUAGUGAACCGUUCAUAAAGAAUUGGAAUUAUCAAAUAUUUAAUCAAAAUUGGCAAUAUGCACAACCAAGCAGAUCAACAUAUUAUUUAGCCACCUCUUUGCUUCCCCGAAGCAGAACAAUUAACUCUUACGAAAGUUAUUUUUUAAACCAAACAAUUGCUCAAAAAUUGAAAGCAAUAGUUUCUGAUUCAUCGCCUUGUCCAGGUCAUGUUCCUAUUUAUAUGCGUACAAGAGACGCGUGCAACAAGCAUCUUUACAGGAACUGUCACAACCGGAGAAUCCGGUCGGUUGAGAUCUACAGGGAGAAAGGGAACCACACGAUGGGUAGAAUUAGCCUAGAUUUCCCUUAG